AUUGAUUAAGAAGAAAAUUUCUUAUAAAUAGAUU
rnacentral:tRNA from 1 species